GUGGGGAAUAUUGGACAAUGGGCGAAAGCCUGAUCCAGCCAUGCCGCGUGUGUGAAGAAGGUCUUCGGAUUGUAAAGCACUUUAAGUUGGGAGGAAGGGCAGUAAGUUAAUACCUUGCUGUUUUGACGUUACCGACAGAAUAAGCACCGGCUAACUUCGUGCCAGCAGCCGCGGUAAUACGAAGGGUGCAAGCGUUAAUCGGAAUUACUGGGCGUAAAGCGCGCGUAGGUGGUUUUGUAAGUUGGAGGUGAAAUCCCCGGGCUCAACCUGGGAACUGCCUCCAAAACUGCAUGACUAGAGUACGGUAGAGGGUAGUGGAAUUUCCUGUGUAGCGGUGAAAUGCGUAGAUAUAGGAAGGAACACCAGUGGCGAAGGCGACUACCUGGACUGAUACUGACACUGAGGUGUGAAAGCGUGGGGAGCAAACAGGAUUAGAUACCCUUGUAGUCC
rnacentral:rRNA from 1 species